GGUAAAGUGGCAGAGCGGCUGAAUGCAACCGCUUGGAAAGCGGUCAGGUUAGGUGAUACUAGCCUCGUAGGUUCAAAUCCUAUCUUUACCG
rnacentral:tRNA from 2 species